rnacentral:rRNA from 1 species
UGUGAAUGCGAAUGACGUGAAUCAUCGAAUCUUUGAACGCACAUGUGCGCCCCUUGGUAUCCCGAGGGGCAUGCCUGUUCGAGCGUCAUU